rnacentral:rRNA from 1 species
UACGUAGGGUGCGAGCGUUGUCCGGAAUUAUUGGGCGUAUAGAGCUCGUAGGUGGCUUGUCACGUCGGGUGUGAAAGCUUGGGGCUUAACUCCAGGUCUGCAUUCGAUACGGGCUGGCUAGAGGUAGGUAGGGGAGAACGGAAUUCCUGGUGUAGCGGUGAAAUGCGCAGAUAUCGGGAGGAACACCCGUAGCGAAGGCGGCACUCUGGGCCGGUACUGACGCUGAGGAGCGAAAGCGUGGGGAGCAAACAGG